rnacentral:rRNA from 1 species
UACGAAGGGGGCUAGCGUUGCUCGGAAUCACUGGGCGUAAAGCGCACGUAGGCGGACUCUUAAGUCGGUGGUGAAAUCCUGGAGCUCAACUCCAGAACUGCCUUCGAUACUGGGAGUCUCGAGUCCGAGAGAGGUGAGUGGAACUGCGAGUGUAGAGGUGAAAUUCGUAGAUAUUCGCAAGAACACCAGUGGCGAAGGCGGCUCACUGGCUCGGUACUGACGCUGAGGUGCGAAAGCGUGGAGAGCAAACAGG